UGGUCACUACCACAUGAGUAGACACAAUAUACAACUGCUACGACUAGUCUGUGGUCACAACCUUUCUACCAGAACCUAGCUGAGUUUUGCCGCACGGAGGAGCUGAAGAAGGUGGGUUUCACAUACGACGUGUUCCUAAGUACAGGGACUCAAUCUCCUGUUGACCACAUGUGCUGUGAGCUUGUCACCUUCACCAACCCUGCCCAAGAAUUCAAGAGAAAGCCGACCAGAGCUGGAUGGGUAAUAGAUCCAGAUGAGGAUCAGGGUAAGCUGAGUCCCAGCUUGCUGCCGCCAAGAAAGAAGAUCAAAACCUCUCAUGUGUCAGAGGUCGGUCGGUACAACACAAACUCUUGCAUGCAUAAAAUACAAUGUAGUAACCCUCAAUCAUCCCAGCAGCAUUCACAGCCUGCUUGUUUUAAAAAAAACAAAAAACAAAAGAUAUUUGGCAGCGUGCUUGUUAAAAUCAUAAAUCGGUUUUAAGAAAAGGCCUUCAAAAAAAAAAAAUCUACCUCAAUUCCAGCAAGUAGUGCCCAUAGCUGGUUACAGUUUAUAGUCCAAAUUGUCAGCUGAUAGCAGGAGCAGUGUGUAAAUAUUGUGUAAUAGGUCAUGUAGGUCAGCACAUCUUUUUCAUUCAGUGCAUUAUUCUUCUGUUUUAUUACACAGAGAUUGUAGAGAAAGUUGUUUCUUGAAAAAAAAAAAAACAGUGUUUUGUUUGUAAUUUUGGCUGAAGUUCUCUCCAACACAAACAGCAAAUAAUUUGAUCAGAGUCCACACUGAAGAGGAGAGGCCAGGUUUUGGAUCUGGAGUGCAGAGGACAGGACUCAUGUGGAUCCAAAUGUUUUCUCUUCAGGAGCCCAGCAAAGAAGGAAGCUGCACAAAGCUGGCCAAAGAGCCCCGUCAACACAUUUGCUUUUAAUUAUAAUAAAGCUGUGUUAUUUGGGAA